CUAGCUGUUCUGAGGUCUGAACUCUGAACUUUGCUGUGGUGGAGUCCAGACUAAAUUUGUUCUUUCUUUAAUUUCCUCGUCUGCUGGCACAGAGAGAGAGAGAUGGAGAGUCUGAUGCUCCCCGUACUUCCUCUGGUAAAAAGCAAAUCAACUGAUGGAUUUCUUAUUCUUCCUCUUCCUCUGCCGAUUCUUCCCUAUCUCUAGAACAAGAAGGCUUUCUUCUUCAUCAGGGUAGAUGGGAAUGAAGAAUUCAAGAAACAGAGUCUAUCUUUACAUGCUUUGGAGGAGCAUAAGCAGUAGAGAAGUUUGACCCUCACUCCCGAUUCCCAUUGGCCGUCCACCUCUUCAACUUUCCGGCCAGUGGCUUUAAAUCAACCCUGAAAGGGUCAACCAGUUCGAGGUUCAUACAAAAAAAAACAAAAGUCAACUAAAUUUAGUCGAGACAGUUCAACUAUUUUGCAACUCCAAUCUCGGAUUUAAAACGCUGGUUCAAUCUUCUAUUCAAGUCAAAGAAAUCCCAGUCAAAUUCUAAGCUAGUACUGAAUGUGCGUGAGAGAGAGGGAGGAUGAAUUGAUAAGAGAGGAACGAAACAGCUAUCUUCAGGCAGAGGUAACAACUAUUUUUGCGAUUUGGUGUUAAUGGUGAGUGUCGUACUUCCUGCUUAUUUUCAUUUCUAAUUAUGUUUUUUUUCCUACUUUGCUGCUAUCUCUAAUUCAAAAGUAAAGUCAGUAGAUAUAUGAAAUUAAUUGCUGUGGAUAAUUGUUAAGUAUGAGUAGGGAUGUAAAGAGGAUUAAAGUUUAGGGUUUAGGAUUUAGAGUAAGAUGCUAAAUGUAAAACAAAUGGUGUAGAAAUCUGAAAUCCAUCGAACAGAGAUGAGUAGGCGCGAUCAUAAUAAGUCAGAAAGAAUAGAAUGGAAGAAGAAAUGAACGGCGCUGAGCGGCAUAGAAUUGAAGGAAGAACGUAGAUACGGGAAGCAAUGAUACUUCUAUGAUCUUAUGAGAUUAUCAGCCUGCAUCAUUUCUUCUUCGUAAUCUUUGAAUUAAGAGACCUUUAAUAUAUUAAAUCGAAACUUGUUCAAAAAAUCUAUAAUUAAUUAUCAGGUUUAAAAAACAUUGUUUAAUGUCUUUUAAGAGGUUUUGAACAAUUUUUACUAUUAUUUUGAAGUUAUUUUCGUCUUUUGUGUCGUUAGAGUUUUAGACUAUUUAAAUCUUUAUUUAGUUGAUGUUAAUGUAUUAUCAUGAUGUUGUGCAUUAUCUUUUAUUUUUGAAUUAAUUUUAUUUUGUUAAACCUAAAGACGGUCUCUACAUUUGAAGAUUUCUUGUAUCCUUUUUGAAAUUUCCCAUUAAAAAUCAACCUGUAGAAUAAUCAUUAUUUUAUUCGACGUCAAUAUAUUUGUAUUCUUGAUUCAACCCUCCUUUCCCACGUCAAUAUAUUUGUAUUCUUGAUUCAACCUUCCUUUCCCACGCUUGGGAAAGUUCUAGUUUUAAGAUCUAACCGCCUAGAUCGACCAAACAUAUAAGGUUUGAUUUCACCCACUUGCUGAAUAUUUGACUCCUACAAACUAUGAUCCUGGUUGCCUUAUCAAAAUCAUAGGUAUAAAGCAACUUCAUCCUACAAAGAACAUCAAGCUCAUAGUUUAUCAAUUUGACUAUGAUAAAUAAGAAAAUAGUUAGAAAAUUGCUAAAAGUAUAAGCGAUUGCCCCUAAUAUUGUCGGAGAUAUUGGAAUUUUCUGAAUUGAAAUUAUAAGAAAAAUAACUCAAACUUAUCUAUCGAGAUGUCUUGAGAAGGUAAUCUCAAGUUGUCAAGCAAGGAAGGAAGAUCUGGUUGAUUGUCAGUGCUACGAGUGCUCAAGCCGGUCGCAUAGUGGUGCGCUAGGUCUAGUGGGUCUCUUUGAUGAGAAGACCACACAGACAAUUAAGCACUGAUUGUUCAUAAUAAAUUUGAGCAAUAACAAAAAGAGGAUUCAUAUGGUAAAAUAUUGGUCGAUUCUUUUAGGCAAAUUUUGCCCCAACCAAUCAGCAUUUGAAGUGUUAAGUCUUGCUCACACACGAGUCAAUUAAUAUAUUUUGGAUCUUGGAUUGGCGCCCCCUAUGAACACACAUGUGAGAGAGAAUCUCUCCCUAUACAUAUAUUCACAAUUUCAAUACUUUCAAUACAUUAUAAAUCAACCAUAAUACUAUGAAACUCUUAAUGUCGGACUAAAGUCUCAUUCAUAAUGUAGUCGCAUUUCUUUAUUAUCUCUCUUAUUUCCAUUUAAAUUUUCAACAAUAUCAUCAUUUGGUCCUAGGGUCAAUUUGAUACUUCCCCAUCAUUGAGGGAGCUCAACCUAGCAACAAAAUUACCUUUGAUCAUCUUUCAAGUUUGCCCAAACAUCAGUUAAAGAUCAAAACACCCUGAUCAACCACUAACCAUGAGAAAUAAAUUGAUUUCCUUGUAUUAUCGACUUUUUUUCUUAAUUUAUUUUCAUUGAAUAUAGAUUCCUCGAGUAAUCACCUAUCAAAUGAUGGAUGACAUACUCUUCUUUUACUUUGAUAAGCGAUGUAUUGACUGUGCAUCUACUUUUAUAAGGCUAACAAUAUAUUUAUUUAUUUAUAAGUGCAUGCACAUUUCUUUUGAAGGACCAUCACAAAAGUAUAUAACUAUAUAGAUCUCAAAAAGAGAUGACCUUCACAAUCUCAACUCUAAGGAACCUAACAUACUGCCUGAAGAGUUUUCAUAAUGAGCUGAUUUAUUUUCUAAUAAUAUUACCUAUAUAUUCAUUUAAAUAUCAUCAUGUGAGAUUAAUUAUUACUUUUAAUUUUUAAAUUUUACUUAAUAGUUUUAUCUAAAUUUUUAAACGGUAAAAAUCACAAGUGUGUUCUUUUUUUAUUGGAAUAAUCACAAACGUACUUAGUUUUUUUAUUUAUUAUCAAAACAACAUUUGAUACCGUCUUAGCUCUUCUUAUUUAGCAUUGCUGUAUUAAUUAUAAUUCAUAAUUUUUGUAACAUGAAUAUUUCAAUUCAUAACUAAUAAUACUAUAUUGUAGUAGUUACAAUUUAUAACUAUAAUUAUAUGAACACUUCAUCUCUGAUUAAUAUUAUUCGUAGCAAUUAUAAACCGUAACUGCUACAACACAUAUAGUUAAUUUCUGAUCUACAUUGAUCAACAAUAUGUUAUAAUAGUUAGCAUUCACACCAAUUUUUCUAUAAUAUUUCUAACAUUUUGGGUAAAUCAUCUAUUUUAUUAAAUUUAGACAAUCACUUUUCACUAUACUCUAUAUCACCUAUCCUAAAACUUUCAUUAUCUUUAUUAUUUUUUAUUAUUAUUUAUUAUUUAUUUCUCUCCUAUGUAAUAUCUACUUUUUAUUACCGAAUCAAUUCCCUUUAUUUUUUCUCUCACCCAAAUUAAAUGAUAUUUUAAUAUUUAGGGAAUAAAUUUCAUUCCCUAAAUAUAAAGUACUAUUCAUAAAAUAUAAAUUUAGGAAAUAGAUAGUAGGUGAUGCAAAAAUUAUUUUUAAGUAAAUUGUAAAAUUUAAGAUAUAUUUUUGUGUUUAGGAAAACUGAUGUGGAUGUUCUUUAUAGGAUCAUAACUACCAUAUAGUUGUAGCAGGUAUGAAAUUAUAACUAUUAUAAUUGUAUAGUUAUAUAUGCUAUGAUCCAUAGCUGUUAAUUAUAAUAAUAUCGAAACUAAGAGUAUUUAAAAAAAUAAAAAUGGACUUAGAUACGAUGGGGUUGUUAUUUGAUAAUAAAUGAAAAAAUGCAUAUAUUUUAUGAUUCCAAUAAAAAAACACCCUUUUAAUUUUUAGUUUUUAUCGCUAUUAUAAACUAUAUAUCUUGAAUAAUAUAACCUCCUAAAUGACUCACCAAGAUAAAGAUGACUUGAACCCCAUUAUUAUGCGAUUUCCUUAUGGAAUUACAUCAGUUGUUCUUAUGUAUGAAUUUCUAAAAGUUUCGGAAUAAUUCAAAAUUGGAUCAUAUAUAUCAUUAAUGCAAAACAAUUUAAAAGAGAAUGAUCGUGAAAUCUAACCUGAAUCAAGAGUUAUUGCCAUUUAAUAAUUGUUGUUAAAGCAAAAUGAAGUUCAGGAAGUAAAAUCUUAUUGUAGAUUCAGGGAGGAAGCUAGGAUCUUGAUUCAGCAUAGACAACACUAAUAUAAUUAAUAAAAUAUAAAAUAUAAAAUCUUAUAAUCAUAAUGGUUCAAGAAAUAUAAUAGUUCAAUUUUUUUAUAGCUUAUUUGAUGCUAAGUACAUUAAUCUUUAACUAGUGAAGUGAAAAGUACGAGCCGUUGAAUUAGGAUUUCAGAGUAAAUAUAGCUCUAGAUAUUGGAGAGGUUUGAAGUAUAUUUUUUUUAUAGUAAUAUAGGUUUUUAUCUUUACAGAUCUAACUAUUCUUGGAGGUGGACAACCCUCUCACCUAGUUCGCCUAUAAAGUAAAUCUAGAAGCGCUAGGGGUAGUGUGCCUAAUAGUUUACCUCCAUAGUUAACUACCCCCAUUACUGAGCAGCAUAAGCUAGUUAAAUGGUUUUACAAGACAUUGUGUGCCACUUUGUACAGUCGUUAUGCCAAUUGGGUUUGUCAAUUAGUUUUACAAGACAUUGUGCACUGCCUUAUUAAGUCGUUCUACCAAUUAAUAGCCUUAUUGCAUGCUCUAGCUGCGUAUUGCAUUGAGAUGCUUUGUGAAUCCACCGAUCAUCUUUCUGUUGCAUUGUGUCUAGGGGCAGGUUUGGAGUAUCUUCACGAGGGUGUAAGAUCAAACUAAAAAAAGAGAGAAAAUUUAAAUUUAAGUAUGGAGAAAUUAUUAUUUUUCUUUUUGUAUAUAAAUCUUAUAUUAUUUUGGGUGUAUGUAGGCUAUUCCACCUGUGAUGGAUCAUGAUAUAUGUCAACAUAUAUAUUGUUCAACCACUCUAUCAUGACUAGGGUAUGAUUUUACAUCGUUUUCUUGUAUUUGAUGGAUUAAUUAAAAGAAAAACAUAUUAUUUUUUGGCACUGGAAAAUAUAUAUAUAUAUAUAUAUAUAUAUAUAUAUAUAUAUAUAUUUUACACACAACAACUAUACUAUUUUUUCUGGGCCCCACCUCUGGAUAGAUUGAUCUUCCAAAGGGAAUAAGGAGACAACAACCGUUUUCUUUUUGAUAGGACAAGAAGCCUCAUACCUUACCCUUUGAAGACCCCAUUUAUAUAUUAUAGACCCAUUUAUGCUAUUAGCCAUAAAAAAAAACAGUACAAAUAGAGGCCUCCACACACAAGAUCCAUAUUAAUUAAUUUGGUCCAUGAUUACAAUAUUAAUUAGAUCACUAUAUUUAAUUUAAUUUUUAAUGACAAAUUUAUUAGUUAUUGUUGGAGUAGGUGGUUCAUAUCUAAUGGGCAACAAUCAGACCGUAGCACGGCCAUGGUGCAAAGCACAGUCAAGUUGCGCUUCGUGUUGGAAAUCUAUGUUCAACAGAACACGGUCGUGUUCUUUGACAUGGCUAGGCAGUGUUCUGUUCUAGAGACGAUUAAUUUGGAGAUGUGAAUAUCAUAGGGGUAUAUGUGUCUUAAUUCCUCGAUAUGGUUAGGGUUGUAUAAAUACAGAAGAUGUAAUCCUUACUCAUUAAUUUUCUAGUGAACAUUUUCAGUCACUCCCAUGGAUGUAAACACAUCGCCGAACCAUAUAAAUUUGUGUGCUAUUCUCUCUCGUGUAUUUUAUUUUCAACUACUUCAUAUUUUGUGUCGGAAUUCAUUGCUUGAUCUCAACAAUUGGUAUUAGAGCUCAAGUCAUCAUGUCUGAUAUUUAAUCUGCUAAAUUUGAUCUGGCAAAGUUCAAUGGAACUGGUAAUUUCGAAUUAUGGUAAAGAAGAGUUAAAAUAUCUGUUAGUAUAACAAGGCAUGGUAAAUCUGUUAUGUGAAAAGAAAUCAGAAUGGAUGGAGAAGAUGGAUUGGGAGGAACUACAAGCAAAGGUUGUGAUAACAAUUAAGCUUUGUCUAACUGAUAAUGUGAUGUAUCAUAUUAUGAAUGAGGAAUCACAAGUGAAAGUUUGGUAAAACUUGAAAAGCCAAUAUAUGUCUAAAUCAUUGACAAACAAGCUCUAUCUUAAGCAUAAGCUAUUAGAGCUUAAGAUAUCAAAGGACACAAAUUUAAGUUAGCAUAUCAACAUGAUUUAUUAGAUCAUAAGCGAUCUGAAAUGAGUUGAUGUAAAGAUCGAAGAAGAAGAUAACGUGCUAAUGUUGUUGAAUUCUCUACUGACAUCUCAUAUGUAUAAGAAUUUGGUUACAACUCUAAUGUGGAUAAAAGAAACUCUCAAGUUAGAUGAAGUCACAAUUGCCUUGUUGGGUUUUUAUCAGUGAAAGAAAGCUAGUGAUAAAAUUUCUCAAGGUGAAGAGCUCAUGGUGAGAGGUAACCAGGAACGUGGUAGGAGCAACUUUUGGUUUGAGUUGGGUAACAAUAGAACUCGAUCUAAAUCAGGGAAGGAGAAGGAGAUCAUGUAUUAUAAGUGUGGAAUAAAGGGGUAUAUCAAGCGAGACUGUCCAAAGAAAAAGAAAGUGAACGACGAGAAUAAAGAUGGUUUAUUAAAAUAUGCAAAUAUAGUGUAAGAAGAAAAUUUAGAUAUCGACGAUGGUGAUAUGAUUUCUAUCUUAUCUGGUUCAAAACAAUUAACAAACUCUUGGAUUUUGGAUUCAGCAUAUUCCUAUCACAUGACAUCUAACAAAGAUUGAUUUGAUACCUAUAAGUUAGUUAAUUUUGAUUAUGUUCUGAUGGGUAACAAUACAUCUUGUCAAGUUAUUGGAAUAGGACAUAUCAAAAUUAAAAUAUUUGAUGGUGUGGUUAGAAUGUCAUGCGAUGGUAGACAUGUAUCAGAUCGGAGGAAAAGUUUGAUUUAUUGGGCACUUUAAAUUGUAAUGGUUGUAGUUAUAAAUCUGUAAGUUGAGUGAUGAAAGUGACUAAAGGUGUUCUUAUAGUAAUGAAAGGAUAGAAACUAGUAGAAAAUAUUUAUAAACUAUUAGGCACCACAAUUGUAGGUGAAGCUAUCGUUGUAAAAUCUGAAUCAGAUAACACAAUCAUGUGACAUAUGCGGCUGGGUCAUAUGGUUGGGCAUGGAAUGAUGAAACUUCAUAAAAGAAAAUUAUUGAUGGGUGUCAAGAUAUGCAAACUCGAUUUCUGCAAGUUCUGUAUUCUUGGAAAAUAAAAUAGAGUGCAAUUCAAGAUAACUACACACAAGAUAGAGAGAAUUCUUAAUUAUGUUUAUAUAAAAAUCUCGGGGCUAGCCAACAUUAUAUCAUAUGGAGGACAUAUGUAUUUUGUAAGUUUCAUUGAUGAUUACUCACCUAAAGUUUGGGUGUAAUCCAUGUGACAUAAGUUAGAGACUUUUACUAAGUUUGAGAUGCGGAAAACUUAAGUAGAGAAUUAGACCAAAGAAAAGUUAAAUGUCCUAGAUUAGAUAAUGGUAUUGAAUACAUAGAGUCGAAUUUUUAAGAAUUUUAUGAGCAAUAUGGGAUAAAAAGACAUUUACAGUUCAUAAGACACAACAACAAAAUGAUGUAGCAAAAAGAAUGAAUAGAACAAUAAUUGAGAAAGCUCGAUGUCUCAGAUUGAAUGUAAGGCUUACAAAAAACUUCUGGGUAGAGGUAGGGAAUAUGACAUAUUUCUUAAUAGAUCACCGAGGGAAACACUAGAUGGAAAAGUAUCAGAAGAGGCGUGAACAUGUAAUCUGAUCGAUUACUCUAAUUUGAGAGUGUUUAGAUGUCUAUCCUACAUGUUUAUUUCUAGUGAGGACAGAUUAAAGCGGGAUGUGAAGUCUAGACAAUGUACUCUUUGAGAAAUUAGAAAGGGUGAAAUACUUAAAGUUUUAGGAUCCUAAGGCAAAUAAAAUAGUGAUUAGUAGAGUUGUGAUCUUUGAUAAAAAAACAAGUCAUGUAUAGCAUACUUAAGGGGAUGAAAAAACUGUUAUCAGAAAAUUUCAGCAACAAUAGGAUAAGGUGUAGGUGGAGUUAAAAACUCAUGAUUUUGAUUCUCAUAGCUCAAAGAAUAUGGAGCAUCAAAUUAUAACUAUAGACAAGACCAAACAUAUUAUCAAACCACCAUCAGGUAUGAUUUUGAAAACUUGAUUUCUUAUGCACUUAUCAUUAGUAGUGCAAAUCCUACUAUUUUUUAGAAGAAAAUAUUAGCUCAGAGAAAAAUAAAUGGAUAAAUGUUAUGGUGGAGGAGACAGUCUCUACACAAGAACCAAACAUGAUAUCAGGUGAAAUUCCCAAAGGAGAAGAAGACUAUAGGAUUAAAUGAAUAUAUAAGAGAAAAGAAGUCAUAUUAGAAAAUGAGGAAGAAAAAUUCAAGACUCGUCUAGUAGCAAAGGGUUAUUUAUAGAGAAAAGGAAUUGACUAUGAUGAAAUUUUUUCUCCUGUGAUCAGACAUACUUCCAUCAGAUAAAUGUUGGCUUUGAUAGCGCAAUGUGAUAUGUAGUUGGAGCAAAUGGAUGUUAAAAUAGCCUUUCUCUAUGGUAAUUUGGAGAAACAAAUUUGUUUGACACAGCCAGAGGGGUUUAGUUAGCCUAGGCAAAAGCACAUAGUUUAUAAAUUGAAAAAAAAAAUAUUUUAUGGGCUAAAGCAAUAUCCAAGGCAAUAAUGUAAGCUAUUUAACUCCUACAUGAUUCAUAAUGGCUAUAAAAGAUGCGAGUAUAAUUGUUAUAUUUAUGUGAAAAGUCUUGAUGAUGAUUCACUUACUUUCUUGUUAUUUUAUAUGGAUGAUAUGUUGAUUGCUAUGAAAAGUAUGGGUGAGGCUAAUAAAUUGAAAAAAUUAUUGAGUGAAGAAUUUGAUAUGAAAGAUUAGGCGCGGCCAAGAAAAUUCUUGGGAUGGAAAUUCAUAAGGACAAAGUCUCUAAAAGAUUAUGGCUAUUUCAGCAUAGUUAUGUUGAGAAUGUGUUAGACAAGUUUAACAUAGGUAAUGAAAAAUCAGUGAGUACACUGCUGACGCAUCAUUUCAAAUUGUCCAUCGCACAGUGCCGAAAGACAUAUGAUAAGAUUUAAGAUAUGUUAAAGGUUCCAUAUGCUAGUACAGUGGGUUGUCUGAUGUAUGCUAUGGUUUACACAAAACUUGAUUUGGUGUAUACUGUUAGUGUAGUGAGUAAGCUUCUUUCAAAUCUUGAUCGACAAUAUUGAGAUGAAGUCAAGUGGAUUUUUAAAAAUUUGAGAAAUACUGAAAAUUAUGGUAUCAUAUUUAGUAGAUAGCAGAGUGAUCCUUCAGUUGCGGGAUAUGUAGAUGUAGACUAUAUAGGGGAUUUGGUUGAUAGAAGGUCUACUACAAGAUAUAUGUUCACUCUAGUGGGAGGACUCAUUUGUUAGAAGUCCAUGACACAACCAUAGUUGUGUUAUCCACUACUAAGUCAGAGUACAUGGCAGUAACAGAAGUCACCAAAGAAGUGUUAUGGCUUGUAGGGUUGGUCAAAUAACUGGUGUUCGAAAAAGUGGAGUCAAGUUAUAUUGUGAUAGCCAAUGUGUCAUCUAUUAGGCGAAAAAUUAGAUAUAUCAUGUGAGAACCAAAUAUAUAAAUAUAAGAUUUCACAAGAUCAUGGAGCUGAUUUUUUUAGUGAAAUAUUACUUUUAAAAGUCCACACUUCUAAAAAUAUUAUAGACAUAUUAACAACGCCAGUUACUACUAAGAAGUUCAAGCAUUGUUUGAGUUUGAUCAAUUUCUUUAAUUGCUAGAUAAGAUUCACCCCAAAGUCAGUCUCUCAAGUGGAGUUCUCAGAUGCUCAUUUUUCUUCUAAGAGUGGAUAUCGCUAAGGUGGAGAUUGUUGGAGUAGGUGACUCAUAUUUGAUGGGCAACAAUCAAACUGUGGCACGAUUAUGGUUUGAAGCACAUCCAAGCUGUGCUUCGUGUUGGAAAUCUAUGUUCAACAGAACUAACACGGCUUGGCCAUGUUCUCUGAUACAACUUGGCCAUGUUUUGUUAUAGAGAUGCUGGUUAAUUUGGGGAUGUAAAUAUUAUAGGAGUAUUUGUGUCAUAAUUCCUAUAUAUGGCUAGAGUUGUAUAAAAUACAAAAGAUAUAACCCUUAGUCGUUAAUUUUCAAGUGAAGAUUACGACAAUUCCCAUAGACAUAGACAUAUCGGCGAACCAUGUAAAUCAGUGUGUUAUUCUCUCUAGCAUAUUUUCUUUUCGACUGCUUCAUAUUUUGUGUCGAAAUUUGUUGUUGAUCUCAACCAUUAUAAUUUUAAUUUAUAAGUCCAAAUUUCGUCCAUGACGACCGGUCAUGGCUGGCCCCAAGCCCGGAUAAAGGAGUAGUGUUGCAUUAGGUUGUCAGUCAGCGUUAAAGCUAUGAUAAAUAUUCAAUGAAUGGAUCUAUUAAACUAUUGUGCUAAUGCUAGGUUGUUCCUUAGAAGGAACACGUUGCAGGAUCUGACUGUAACAUCUCGAGAAGGAUCACUACAUCUCCAGAACUCAGAUGUAGUGCUAAAUAUGCAAAAAGUUCACGUUGCAGGGUCUGACUAUAACAUCUCGACAAGGACCGCUACAUCUCCAUGAGAACUUGAGUGUAGUGUUAAAUAAGCAAGAAUUCUCAUAUCAUAGGUUGAAUAAGAACAAAUAUAAUAGGAAAACUAAUAAUCUAAGAUUUAGAACAUGGAAUGUAGGAACCCUCACUGUAAAUAAAUAGAGGUAGUAGAUAUGAUGAUUAAGAGAAGAAUUAGUAUUUUAUGUGUACAAGAGAUAAAAUGGAUAGGCGAGAAGGUAAAGAUGAUAGAAAAUUUGGUUUUAAGUUAUGUUACACUGGAAAGAGUAAAUCAAGAAAUGGAGUGAGUAUUAUUAUAGAUAGUUCAUUAAAAGAUGAAGUUGUAGGAGUAGUUAGAAAAGAGGAUAAAAUUAUAGCCUUUAGAUAAUAGUGGUGAAAGAAAAUAUGAAUAUAAUUAGCGUAUAUGCACUGCAAAUAUGAUUAGAUAAAGCUACAAAAUCAAAAUUUUAGGACGACUUAGAUGAAAUAUUAUAAAACAUUCUGCCAAAUAAAAUGAUUUUAAUAGCAGAUAAUCUAAAUGAGCA